GGGGCCGGCACCCUACUCACUGAGCCACAGGUGCUGCCCAGAUCACUCCUAUAUUCACCUGAGAGUCCACUUCCAGAGAGCCUCUGAGGGAAGGCCAAAGAGACCAGGACCUCAGGUUGCUGGGCUAUUAGCCUGUCAAAUGUUUUUAGAUGCAUGAGAAGCCUCAACCCUACUGGCCAGUUGGAG